rnacentral:rRNA from 1 species
AUUGAACGCUGGCGGCAUGCUUUACACAUGCAAGUCGAACGGUAACAGGCCUUCGGGUGCUGACGAGUGGCGAACGGGUGAGUAAGGCAUCGGAAUGUACCCAGAGGUGGGGGAUAACGCAGCGAAAGCUGUGCUAAUACCGCAUGUGAUCUGAGGAUGACAGCGGGGGACCGAGCAGCAAUGUUUGGCCUCGCGCCUUUGGAGCGGCCGAUGUCGGAUUAGCUAGUUGGUGGGGUAAAGGCCUACCAAGGCGACGAUCCGUAGCUGGUCUGAGAGGACGAUCAGCCACACUGGAACUGAGACACGGCCCAGACUCCUACGGGAGGCAGCAGUGGGGAAUCUUGGACAAUGGGCGCAAGCCUGAUCCAGCAAUGCCGCGUGCGGGAAGAAGGCCUUCGGGUUGUAAACCGCUUUUGGCAGGAAAGAAAAGGUGUCCGCUAAUACCGGGCGCUCAUGACGGUACCUGAAGAAUAAGCACCGGCUAACUACGUG